UGAAAUAUAACUGUUGACCUAAAUAAUUUCUCCACUAUAUUGUAGAUCUUAAGUUCCACAUCCUCUGUGAUCUCCGAUUGUCUCCGACGACCUCUGCUGACUAUAUCUUUGCAUGAACAAGAAGGAUGUUGGUAUCAACAAAAGUAUAUGGAAUCAAUAUUUAUUCCUAAAAAGAUUAAUCAAGGAGAUUCUUUGUUCCUUUUUAACCAUUCCUUUAUCAGUUCACACUGUGCUACAGAAGAUGUUGCAAAGAUUGGUGAAUGAAAUGGAGUCGUCUAAACCAAAGAACUAAAGAUUGUACACUUAUGAUGAAAUUUGUUUGUACACUUAUGAUGAACUUUGUUUGUAUUUUGAGGGUUAAUUUGUGUGGUUGAUACAUUAUUUACUAAUAUGUGUUUUGAUUA